UACGUAGGGUGCGAGCGUUGUCCGGAAUUACUGGGCGUAAAGAGCUCGUAGGUGGUUUGUCACGUCGUCUGUGAAAUUCCGGGGCUUAACCUCGGGCGUGCAGGCGAUACGGGCAAUACUUGAGUGCUGUAGGGGAGACUGGAAUUCCUGGUGUAGCGGUGAAAUGCGCAGAUAUCAGGAGGAACACCGAUGGCGAAGGCAGGUCUCUGGGCAUUUACUGACGCUGAGGAGCGAAAGCAUGGGGAGCGAACAGGAUUAGA
rnacentral:rRNA from 1 species